rnacentral:rRNA from 1 species
AUUGAACGCUGGCGGCAGGCCUAACACAUGCAAGUCGAGCGGGGUUUUCGGACCUAGCGGCGGACGGGUGAGUAAUGCGUAGGAAGCUACCCGAUAGAGGGGGAUACCAGUUGGAAACGACUGUUUAUACCGCAUAAUGUCUACGGACCAAAGUGUGCGACCUUCGGGCCACAUGCUAUCGGAUGCGCCUACGUGGGAUUAGCUAGUUGGUGAGGUAAUGGCUCACCAAGGCGACGAUCCCUAGCUGGUUUGAGAGGAUGAUCAGCCACACUGGAACUGAGACACGGUCCAGACUCCUACGGGAGGCAGCAGUGGGGAAUAUUGGACAAUGGGCGCAAGCCUGAUCCAGCCAUGCCGCGUGUGUGAAGAAGGCCUUCGGGUUGUAAAGCACUUUCAGUAGGGAGGAAGCGUUGUGUGUUAAUAGUACACAGCGUUGACGUUACCUACAGAAGAAGCACCGGCUAACUCUGUGCCAGCCGCCGCCGUAAUAC